UAUGAAGUAGGUCGCAGUUAGCGUGCACAGAAGUGCCUGAAGAUACCUUGUGUCAUGCUGCAAACUCGCCGUAUGCGUGGCGCGCCAGGCAAAUGUGGCCCAACGAUUUUAUGCCGUGGAGUGCGGUCUCUUUGUUCUCGUUCUGGAAAGUUAGGUGGACGUCGCAAAGAAAUAAUGUGUGUUAGCGCGCCUCAGCUCGUCCACUACGCAGCGGCAUGUAUGCGGGGAGUAACAUCGUCGACGCAGCACCGGCAACUUGGAGAGCGCUUCGCGACCGCGUCGUACCAUUCAAAAGUGGCGAGGCUGUGACCCAUAACAGUGCCCACAUAACGGAGGAGCCACCAGACCCCUUGGCUAUGCCUGCCGUAGUGCAACGUGUAAUCUGGAUGGUCGGGUCAGGUACACCUAGGAAAUGUUGUAUACAUUGGCAACGAUAACUGGGGCCUGCUCCAGUGCCAUCGCCGGGAUUCCCUGUUCUGCAAAGAACUGGCAUAACUGAUGUGGGGAGCCCUGGCGCUCGGCGUAGGAGCGUCACAGGGGCUCCUUGUCGGUGCUUGAAGGACGGCAAUGCUGUUGAGAAGCCGACAUUGAGCCCCGAUAAAUUGGAAGCUGUGGGUAGUAAGUAUCAUUCACAUUUUUUCAAGUUUUUGUAAUGUUUGUAACAAUGCAUGUAUUGCACCGAAAUGAUUAACUUUUCAGAUGCAUUUGAUGCAUAUCUUUCGAAAUGUGGUGCCCCUGAGGAGAAAAAAUCAUCUUCUCAUGCUUGGUUUUGGCCGAGCGGUUGAAUCGAGUGACAAAGUUUUUCGCGUUUAGGUAGCCCAAGAAGAAACA